GAUGAACGCUGGCGGCGUGCUUAACACAUGCAAGUCGAACGGAAAGGCUCCUGCUUUCAGGGGUACUCGAUUGGCGAACGGGUGUGUAACACGUGGGUGAUCUGCCCUUCACUUCGGGAUAAGCCUUGGAAACUGGGUCUAAUACCGGAUAGGACAAUGGUUUCGAUGCCAUUCUGGACAGUUUUUCGGUGUGGGAUGAGCUCGCGGCCUAUCAGCUUGUUGGUGGGGUAAUGGCCUACCAAGGCGUCGACGGGUAGCCGGCCUGAGAGGGUGUACGGCCACAUUGGGACUGAGAUACGGCCCAGACUGCUACGGGAGGCAGCAGUGGGGAAUAUUGCACAAUGGGCGCAAGCCUGAUGCAGCGACGCCGCGUGGGGGAUGACGGCCUUCGGGUUGUAAACGCCUUUCGCUAGGGACGAAGCGCAAGUGACGGUACCUGGAGAAGAAGCACCGGCUAACUACGUG
rnacentral:rRNA from 1 species